AACAAACGCUGGCGGCAGGCUUAACACAUGCAAGUCGAGCGCCCCGCAAGGGGAGCGGCAGACGGGUGAGUAACGCGUGGGAAUCUACCUAUCUCUACGGAACAACUCCGGGAAACUGGAGCUAAUACCGUAUACGCCCUUCGGGGGAAAGAUUUAUCGGGGAUAGAUGAGCCCGCGUUGGAUUAGCUAGUUGGUGGGGUAAUGGCCUACCAAGGCGACGAUCCAUAGCUGGUCUGAGAGGAUGAUCAGCCACACUGGGACUGAGACACGGCCCAGACUCCUACGGGAGGCAGCAGUGGGGAAUAUUGGACAAUGGGCGAAAGCCUGAUCCAGCCAUGCCGCGUGAGUGAUGAAGGCCCUAGGGUUGUAAAGCUCUUUCACCGGUGAAGAUAAUGACGGUAACCGGAGAAGAAGCCCCGGCUAACUUCGUGCCAGCCGCCGCGGUAAGAC
rnacentral:rRNA from 1 species